rnacentral:rRNA from 1 species
GUAUGUUACUUCAAACCAAUCGACCUUCCUUCUGACUUCUUCUGAUAUUCAACAUUUUUCCUGAUCGCACGGUCUAAGAACCGGCGACAUAUCCUUCAAAAUUUCUGCCCUAUCACUUUCGAUGGUAGGAAUGCGCCUACCAUGGUUGGUACGGGUAACGGAGAAUCAGGGGUUGAUUCCGGAGAGGGAGCCUGAGAAACGGCUACCACAUCCAGGAAGGCAGCAGGCACSCMAAUUACCAMUCCCGGYWCRGGGAGGUAGUGACRAWAAAUAACAAKCYSGKCUUUUGARWUCCWGGUAAUUGGAAUGAACAAUUUAAAUCUCCCUUAACGGAUCUAUUGGAGGGCAAGUCUGGUGCCGCCAGCCGCGGUAAUUCCAGCUCCUCCAGCGUAUAUUAAAGUUGUUGCGGUUAAAAAGCUCUCGUUGGAUCAAGGAUGGUGGGAACCACCGGUUCAGCUUCUCGUACUGCACUGCCCGACUGCUUUUCUUCUGUCUKCGAUUGUUGUCYUGMAWUGAKUGACUGURACUACKAGAACUCUUACCUACAAAAAAAUGAWUUGCUCGWAGCAAGUARUC